GCUUAGAGAGGGGUCAAUGUCCUAUCAGCUAGUUGGUAAGGUAAUGGCUUACCAAGGCGAAGACGGGUAGCCGGCCUGAGAGGGUGGUCGGCCACACUGGGACUGAGACACUGCCCAGACUCCUACGGGAGGCUGCAGUCGAGAAUCUUUCGCAAUGCCCGAAAGGGUGACGAAGCGACGCCGCGUGCGGGAAGAAGGCCUUCGGGUUGUAAACCGCUGUCGGGAGUUAAGAAAUGCAAGGAUGUUAAUAGUGUCUUUGCUUGACUAAGGCUCCGGAGGAAGCCACGGCUAACUCUGUGCCAGCAGCCGCGGUAAUACAGAGGCGGCAAGCGUUGUUCGGAAUUAUUGGGCGUAAAGAGCACGUAGGCGGCUAUGUAAGUCGGUUGUGAAAGCCUUCCGCUCAACGGGAGAACAGCAUCCGAUACUGCAUGGCUUGAGUGCGGGAGGG
rnacentral:rRNA from 1 species